rnacentral:lncRNA from 1 species
UUGAAUCUUGAAGUAGCAAAUAUUCAUUUCACAUUUCUCACUUUGCAUUUCACAUUAAAAUUAAAAAAAAAGGGCAUAUGUCAUAAAUUUUCUUUUCAUAUCGUUUAUGAUUAAGAUUCGCUUUGCCACAAAGGUUUACAAGUAGCAUGAAUAUUAUUAGUGUCAUUUGAUCUUAUAAAAAAAAAGAUUUAAACAUAAUUCCUAAUUCUUCCAAGGCCUAAUUUUUAAGAUCUUCAAGACUCCUCUUGUCUGCAUGAUUUCUUCAAGUAGCAUAUAGGUCACCAAUACAAGAGUCAUUUCCAUCAGAAAGGGCCUAGCAUCAAAAGUGAAAAAAUUCUGUCAAACACAAACCAUUGGAUUCAAAAAAUAAUAAGGCAAUGCAAUGUCAAAAUAAGAAUUUUAAAAAAGAGAGUAAAGAGCAAGUGUAACUAUUGGUACAAAGCCUUUAUAUUUAGUAGGAUUUGCUUUUGUUUUCAAAUGCCAAAUAAGGAAAAAGUUAAAGAACAACAUAGCAGUGGUAGAAGUUACACCAAUUUGUCAAAAAAUACCUGUUGAAACAUGUUUCUUUCCAUUCCUAAUCAUCCCCAAACUCAUCCAACAACAACCAUCCAUGAAUCACAAGUUUCUCAUGAUAUAAUACACCAAUAUUCACCAUUCUAACAACAACAACAUUCACUCAGGUAGAAACACAAUAAUUAUAGAAAUUUCUCAUAAAAAAUGGAAGAAUGCAUAACAACAUAUCAGGAAUCAUCAAUAUCUAUUCUCUAUUUCAAAAAGUCUCAAUUUCUAAUCUUCUAAGACUACUAACUAGAACCCAUCUUACUAAUGAGAUGAAGAAGUUGUUGUUGUAAGAUGUAGAGAUGAAAUGAUGAUGAUGAUGAUGGUUUCAUGUUUUGAUUCCUCCAAGUUCUUCUUUUCUUCUUUCCACAAAUUUUCUCCUUUUCUCUCCAUGUUCUUCUUUCUAUGUUUUUACUUCUUUUACUAAUAUAAAGCAUAUUGAAAAUGAUACAUAGAGGCAUGAAAGGAAAGUUGGUAAGGCAUAGGCAUGUGUGGUAGAGACAUCUGGU